GGAUUGUGGCUCAGCGGUAAAGUGCUCACCUAGCACAGCCGGGACCUGUGUUCAAUCCUCAGCACCA
rnacentral:tRNA from 1 species